CGGCCAUCCACACGCCGCGGCGCGUACCUCUCGGCCUCCCGGCGACCCCCAGCCGCGGCACCCGCGCUCGUUCAGCUCUCUCGCUCGCCCUCCUUCCCUGAGGCCUGCUGCGCCAUGGCUUUGGCGUUGGCGGCGCUGGCGGCGGUGGAGCCGGCCUGCGGCACUGGGUACCAGCAGUUGCAGAAUGAAGAGGAGCCUGGGGAGCGGGAACAGACUGCGGGUGACGCCCCUCCACCCUACAGCAGCAUCUCUGCGGAGAGUGCAGCAUAUUUUGACUACAAAGAUGAAUCUGGGUUUCCAAAGCCCCCAUCUUAUAAUGUGGCUACAACACUGCCCAGCUAUGACGAGGCUGAGAGAACCAAGGCUGAAGCCACCAUCCCUUUGGUUCCUGGAAGAGUAAGCAGUUUCUUUG
rnacentral:lncRNA from 1 species